rnacentral:rRNA from 1 species
UACGUAGGGUCCGAGCGUUGUCCGGAAUUAUUGGGCGUAAAGGGCUCGUAGGCGGUUGGUCACGUCGGGAGUGAAAACCCACUGCUUAACGGUGGGUCUGCUUUCGGUACGGGCGGGCUAGAGUAUGGCAGGGGAGACUGGAAUUCCUGGUGUAGCGGUGGAAUGCGCAGAUAUCAGGAGGAACACCGGUGGCGAAGGCGGGUCUCUGGGCCAUUACUGACGCUGAGGAGCGAAAGCGUGGGGAGCGAACAGG